UACGGAGGGUGCAAGCGUUGUUCGGAAUUAUUGGGCGUAAAGCGCAUGUAGGCGGCUACCUAAGUCUGAUGUGAAAGCCCGGAGCCUAACUCCGGAAGUGCAUUGGAUACUGGGUGGCUAGAGGACGAGAGAGGGAAGUGGAAUUCCUGGUGUAGGGGUGAAAUCCGUAGAUAUCAGGAGGAACAUCGGUGGCGAAGGCGGGACUCUGGGCCGAUACUGACGCUGAGGAGCGAAAGCCAGGGGAGCAAACGGG
rnacentral:rRNA from 1 species